ACUCAAAUGAAUAGACGGGGGCCCGCACAAGCGGUGGAACAUGUGGUUUAAUUCGAAGCUACGCGAAAAACCUCACCAGGGCUUGACAUACAGGAAGUAGUGAAGUGAAAGCGGAACGACCCGUUAAGUCGGGAGCCUGAACAGGUGCUGCAUGGCUGUCGUCAGCUCGUGUCGUGAGAUGUUGGGUUAAGUCCCGCAACGAGCGCAACCAUUAUCCUUUGUUGCCACCUCAUUGCAGCUUGCUGCAGUGGGAGCACUCUAAGGAGACUGCCCGGGAUAACCGGGAGGAAGGUGGAGAUGACGUCAAGUCAGUACGGCCUUUAUGCCCUGGGCUACACACGUGUUACAAUGGGUAGGACAAAGUGUUGCCAACCAGCGAUGGGGAGCUAAUCACAAAAACCUACCCCCAGUUCAGAUUGGAGUCUGCAAUCCGACUCCAUGAAGCCGGAAUCGCUAGUAAUGGGAGAUCAGCACGCUCCCGUGAAUACGUUCCCGGGCCUUGUACACACCGCCCGU
rnacentral:rRNA from 1 species